rnacentral:pre_miRNA from 1 species
GGGGGGAGAUCGGAUCCUGGGCUGUGUCCCCCCAUGGCCUGGGCUCUGAGGCCUGCACUGUUGGAUUCAUACUCCCGGCCACGCAGCCUCCU